rnacentral:rRNA from 1 species
UACGUAGGAUGCUAGCGUUGUCCGGAUUUACUGGGCGUAAAGCGCGCGCAGGCGGCACCUUAAGUACGAUGUGAAAUCUCCCUGCUCAACGGGGAGGGCGCAUAGUAAACUGGGGAGCUUGAGGACGGUAGAGGGGGGUAGAAUUGCUGGUGUAGCGGUGAAAUGCGUAGAGAUCAGCAGGAAUACCCGUGGCGAAGGCGGCCCCCUGGGCCGAACCUGACGCUGAGGCGCGAAGGCUAGGGGAGCGAACGG